rnacentral:rRNA from 1 species
ACGGAAGGCAGCAGUGGGGAAUGUUGGACAAUGGGGGAAACCCUGAUCCAGCGACGCCGCGUGAGUGAAGAAGUAUUUCGGUAUGUAAAGCUCUAUCAGCAGGGAAGAUGAUGACGGUACCUGACUAAGAAGCCCCGGCUAACUACGUGCCAGCAGCCGCGGUAAUACGUAGGGGGCAAGCGUUAUCCGGAUUUACUGGGUGUAAAGGGAGUGUAGGCGGCUGUGCAAGUCAGAAGUGAAAGCCCGGGGCUUAACCCCGGGACUGCUUUUGAAACUGCAUAGCUAGAGUGCAGGAGAGGUAAGCGGAAUUCCUAGUGUAGCGGUGAAAUGCGUAGAUAUUAGGAAGAACACCGGUGGCGAAGGCGGCUUACUGGACUGAGACUGACGCUGAGGCUCGAAAGCGUGGGGAGCAAACAGGAUUAGAUACCCUGGUA